CGGGUGUGUCAUUCGUGAAUAACGUAAAGGAUAAAUAAUGAUACUACUUUACUAUUAGUGUCGUCUAAAGCUGGUGCCAGAAGACUCGGUAAGGCCAGAGACGCAAGCGUUAAUUUCAAUAAACAGGCGUAAAGGGUACGUAGGCGGCUUUAUAACAAUAAUACAUAGAGCUAGAAUCAUAUAUGGGUGGUCGUCCAGAGAACUCGAUGAGUGUAGGGCUGAAAUCUGCAAAUACCGGGAGGAAAGCUAAUUAGUGAAAGCACUUUUCCAAAUUUUGAUUGACGCUGAGAGAACGAAGGUGAGGUAAGGUAAUAGGAUUAGAUACCCUGGUACCCCUUUUUCUGUCAACGAUGAAUGGCAAUCGUUAGAUCUUCGUAGAGGUUUAGCGGUGAAGUAAACACGUUAACCAUUCCGCCUUGUGACUACAGUCGCAAGAUUGAAAACAAAAAAAUUAGUCGGUUUCGGAGCAAACGAAGUGAAGCAUGUUAUUUA
rnacentral:rRNA from 1 species